rnacentral:rRNA from 1 species
UGUANGAGGCUCCCGGCAGGCCUUAACAUGCAAGUCGAGGGGCAGCACAAAGAUAGCUUGCUAUUUUGGUGGCGACCGGCGCACGGGUGCGUAACGCGUAUGCAAUCUACCUUAUACUGGGGUAUAGCCCGAAGAAAUUCGGAUUAAUCCCCCAUAGUACUGAUAUACCUCAUGGUAAUUCAGUUAAAGUUUCGGCGGUAUGAGAUGAGCAUGCGUCCUAUUAGCUAGAUGGUAAGGUAACGGCUUACCAUGGCUACGAUAGGUAGGGGGCCUGAGAGGGUGACCCCCCACACUGGUACUGAGACACGGACCAGACUCCUACGGGAGGCAGCAGUGAGGAAUAUUGGUCAAUGGGCGCAAGCCUGAACCAGCCAUGCCGCGUGCAGGAAGAAUGCCCUAUGGGUUGUAAACUGCUUUUAUUUAGGAAUAAACCUUUCUACGUGUAGAAAGCUGAAGGUAC